AUGGAGGUUCCAGAAGACCGUAGAGUUCCUUUGGUCACGUACAAGCUGAAAGGAGGAGCCAGUGCAUGGUGGCAUCACGUUCAAGAAGAACGCAGGCUGAGAGGAGAACCUCGUGUGAGAACUUGGCGGCAAAUGAAAAGUCUUUUGAAGGGGAGAUUUUUACUCGCUGAUUAUGAUCAGAUCCUAUUUAUCCAAUUCCAAAAUUGUGCCCAAGGAAAUAGGCCCGUUUCAGAUUACACGGAGGAGUUUCUAAGGCUACAAGUGAGGUGCAACCUUACUGAAACUGAAGAUCAACAAGUUGCAAGGUACAUCAAUGGUCUAAUGAUGCUAUUCAAGAUCGAUUGA
rnacentral:rRNA from 1 species